rnacentral:rRNA from 1 species
CACUUCCUCGGGGGGCAGCAGUGGGGGAUAUUGGACAAUGGGGGAAACCCUGAUCCAGCGAUGCCGCGUGAGGGAAGAAGGUUUUCGGAUUGUAAACCUCUGUGGAGGGGGACGAUAAUGACGGUACCCCUUUAGGAAGCCACGGCUAACUACGUGCCAGCAGCCGCGGUAAUACGUAGGUGGCGAGCGUUGUCCGGAAUUACUGGGUGUAAAGGGAGUGUAGGCGGGAAAGCAAGUCAGAAGUGAAAACGAUGGGCUUAACCCAUAGCCUGCUUUUGAAACUGUGUUUAUUG